rnacentral:tRNA from 1 species
GGGGUUGUGGCUCAGAGGUAGAGCGCUGGCCUAGAAUGCAUGAGGCACUGGGUUCAAUCCUCAGCACCA